GACAAGCAAGUAUCAAGUAUGCAACCAAGUUUAAGUGUUGCAUGGGGCACUGCUUCCAAACUCUUUGCGGCACUUCCUUCUUUGCCAGUUCAAUUUAUAUAUACUGUAUCCUUCUAUGCAUAUCACACAUUACUAAAGACUACAGACACGUCAAGGUGUCAGUAUGUAGAGACCCGCAAACAGUUCUCUGCCACUCGGCAGAGGACGCCCUCGCCCUGCUAUGUUUGCUUUUAAGGCCCAGUCUCCACUAGUAACGCUAUGUGGCGCACAGGUGCGCCUUGCAGCGGCCAUAACGCUGGGUUGUUGCAGGGGUGGUGACGUCGUUGACCGAGCGCAAUAUUUAUCGCCCACCUUCAAUUCGUUCAGGUUCAGGCUCAACAAAAGCAUUUCAAAAGGCUACAGAGCCAUCACGCGUGGCGCAGGUGAGGCGGGGGUACCAUCCGCGCGACUUGGUUGCUAGCUUCCGAGGCUGUCAGCUGAGAGCAUGCGCAUGCUAAGGUGUCUGUAUAAUGGCACCGUACAAGCCUGUCAUCAGUUCAUGCUCAGAUCUCAGUCCUGGUACCCUCCCGCCCUCCCUCAGGACUCCGGCCGCACGAAGGGCCACCCGUGCGGACCACCCCUGGGUGGGCUAGACGUGGCGCACUCACACGUUAACCCCAACAGGCAAGUCUAUGUCCAGAUAUUAUUUCGCAAUUGCUGAAGUAAGCACUGCAUGAGUAGCGUGUCUGCAGCUGAACAUGGGGGGAAAGGUACCUUGCGUCUUACCCUCUGAUAUGCCUGGUUUUGUGGUUUGGUUCCUGACCGAAUCGUCCUGAACACUAUGCAGGCUUACGAAGGGCAGCACGGGUGUGGCUAGCUGUGGACUGGAGCGCUGGCACCGGCAGCAUGCGGAGUCUGCGGUGGCACUGUGCAGCAGGUCGGACGUUGUGGUUGAGGUCGUUGUGUGGCAAGACUUAGUAUGGGUCCACCUGUGCCGCUUAUGCCUUGGCGGGUGGCGUUUGGUUGUUCCGCGGAAGUGGCUACAUGCACAUCUGUGGCUAGCUACGGAUUGGAGUGCCGGCACCGGCAGCAUGCAGAGUCUGCGGUAGCACUGUGCAGCAGGUCGGACGUUGUGGUUGUCGUUGUGUGUUUGGCAAGACUUUAGUAUGGGCACACCUCUGCCGCUUAUGCCUUGGCGGGUGGCAUUUGGUUGUUACCCGGAAGCGGCUACAUACGCAUCUGUAUUCAUGUUACGGUAGGGCACGUUCGGUGAGCGAGGAGGUCGAUGGGUGACAGGGCAUGUGGAGCGGGCAGACUUCCUUUCCAGGGUGUGCGAUGGCGGACUAAAAGCCUAAGGAGAGGCUGGUGGAUGGAGGCGGACUCACGCCUUCAGAGAAACAGGCCGAAUCCUCGUUUACACUGGACGCGCGGCACGUGCCGUUGCAUGAACUGUAACACAAAUGAGCAGUUGAG
rnacentral:lncRNA from 1 species